rnacentral:lncRNA from 1 species
UUUGCUAUUGACAUUACCGAUCACUGUGAAAUCCAUCUUUUGUCCACUCACCAAAUUUCUAUACUUGUUCCUUUCCCGUCAGAUCUAAAACCAUUUCCCCACCUCCGCUUCUUCCUUUUCCCCUUUAAAUUGUGCCAUUUCUUCCCCUUCAGCUUCUCCGCACCCCUCCCUCCUCAGAUCCACGCCCCAACGAUUCUUCCUCUCUGUGCCGCUCCCACCCUAUUCCCCUUUCUUUUUCUCACCUAUUCCCUCAUGCAACUCACCCCACCAAGAUCUAAGAGCCACGUCCUCCGUGUCGGCGGGUCGAUCUGCUGGCAGCCAUAUUUCGAUUUCAUGUAAUGACUUAUGUUACAACAUAUAAUUUUAUUACCAUUCCUUUCUCCUUCAACAAUUCACCCCUUCGUUGUCGUGGAUUUUAUGCUAGUUUUUAA